rfam:Salmo salar isolate Sally breed double haploid chromosome ssa01, whole genome shotgun sequence.
UGGCUCAUUUGGUAGAGCAUGGUGUUUGCAACGCCAGGGUUGUGGGUUCGAUUCCCAC